rnacentral:ribozyme from 1 species
AGUUGUGGCGAAUUUUGAAAUUGUGUAAUGUGUGCUGUCUGUGUUGUUGUUUUUGUUGUUGUUGCUGUAGCUUUUGUUGCUGUUGUGAGAUAAACGACAAA